rnacentral:misc_RNA from 1 species
CAAGUAAUUGGUCCCCUCAUACGAGUUCUUGGUUCUGGCAUACACAUCUUGCAGCAGAGAGCUGUCAAGGCUCUUGUUAGCAUUGCACUCACAUGGCCAAAUGAAAUUGCGAAAGAAGGAGGUGUGAAGGAGCUAUCCAAAGUGAUAUUGCAAGCUGACCCUUCUCUUCCUCAUGCCUUGUGGGAAUCUGCUGCUUCUGUAUUAGCUAGCAUUCUGCAAUUUAGUUCUGAAUUUUAUUUGGAAGUGCCUGUUGCUGUGUUGGUAAGGUUGCUUCGAUCUGGAUCAGAAAGUACAGUAAUUGGUGCACUAAAUGCCCUUUUGGUGUUAGAAAGUGAUGACGGAACUAGUGCCGAAGCAAUGGCUGAAAGUGGUGCCAUAGAAGCUCUUUUGGAACUUCUUAGAGGUCAUCAGUCUGAGGAAACAGCUGCAAGGCUUCUGGAAGUAUUACUCAACAAUGUGAAAAUCAGAGAAUCAAAAGCUACUAAAUCUGCAAUCUUGCCCUUAUCCCAGUACUUAUUGGAUCCACAAACUCAAGCCCAGCAGGCGAGGCUACUGGCAACUUUGGCACUUGGAGAUCUAUUCCAAAAUGAGGGCUUGGCUCGAAGUACUGAUGCAGUUUCAGCUUGUCGGGCUCUAGUCAAUGUGCUUGAAGAGCAGCCUACAGAAGAAAUGAA